CCGGAGUAAUAACGACAGUAAUGACUAGAGUGUGAAAGAAUAGUCGAGAGUCGCUUGCAACGGAAAUUCUUUGGAUGAAUAUGCAUGCGUCGAGUGUGUGUGACUAUGGAAACGCUGUUGGGAACGGUACGCUCUCUCGUUGCAUUCUAACCCGAUGAUUUGUUUCUGCUUACAGAACUGUUUCUAUGUGGUGGCGCACGAAAAACUAUUCUCGUUAUUUCAGCUUGAUUUCCAGCGCUUGUAUGUCGCUGUUCGCUCUGUACCCACCCUUUCCACCACCGUUAAAAUGAUAAAUAGUGGACGAGAAAAGUUAUCGCGCAGCGUUCAUACACGAGGUGGUCACUGAUCGAUAUUAUAGGUCAGGUUUGCUCUCUGAAUACUGUGCCAUAGGACCAAACGGCAGUGAGUUUGAUAGUGAUGAUACAGUGACGCGUCACAACCGAGUACUGUUAGCUAUGUUCUAUCAACUUCUCGUGUGAAAUUAAUUUUUUAAAAACAUUAAAGUUAUGUUCUUCGUGUUUUGCGCCGAUCGAUUACACUAGGCAUAUACAUAUAUGUCAUUUUUCAGCAGAUAUCCGUUGUGCGUAUUUUAACGAAUAAAACGUGAGUUCGUAAUAAACGAAUUGUUUGCAUUUAUAUUCGAAUGUCUUAGAGAGAACAGAAGAAACAUUUCAAAUUCUAAUCUCGUGCUGAAGUUUCUCUCAAAAUAUUAAAACGCUCCCUGUUUUACUGAAACGAGAACGAGCUAUCCGUUUUUCAGCGUGGACACCGAAACAUCUCUGCCAUCGACGUUUAUUCGCUUAAAAAAUUGAUUGUACAGCAUGCGACGAAUCAAGCUCGAGUGGCCAAUAGCUGGUCUAGUGCUUUUCAACCUGCCGCUAAGUUUUCCCCCUUCUGUCCCUGCUUUGUCUCGCACUCAACCUGCUUUCGACCUCUCCAGUUGAGCCGGCUUCCUUCUUCCACCGAUUAAGAUUACCCACGUAAACAUACUCGAAAAGAGGUAAAUGCGAAUAGCUUGUGCUCCUAGUGAAAAGUAUUAACUGUAUUCACUUGACCUUUCGUUGAGUGUCGAUCGGCCAAGUCCUGGCCGCCAUCUUGUCGACCGGUAAAUUGUCUUUACGGAGUUGACACGGAGAAAGACAAAAAAUGAGAAAGAGAUCGAUGCCGAA
rnacentral:misc_RNA from 1 species